GGAAUAAAAAAGCAGAGAGAGGAGUCCGUCACAAUUUCUAAGGCACAGACACAAGAUGGAUUUCCUUCUGCAGCCCCGCAGCGGUCCUGUGUCCGAUGAGAUCUGCUCUCCCAAAGAAGAAGGUUUUGAAUAUGACAUAUUCAAAUACAGCAUAUUUACUAUGGAAGGCAUCGAUCCGGACCUUAUGACCCUACCGGAAAUACUCCGGAAGUGUCUAGUCAUUUUUAGACCUGUUGCAUCAUGUUCCCUAACCACAGCGGUGAUGCAGCAGAUGAUUCUGCGAUGAAAAGAAGAACUUUCUAUCCGCUUGUAACCUUUAAGAUACACCAUAGCUUGUGAUGAAAAGAAGAACUUUCUAUCCGCUUGUAACCUACAGGCUGCCUAUGUGUAAAAAAUUGAAUAAAUAUCGCUUAGUGAAUACUACUUUUCCUUGUGAGAGUCCUUUUUUACAAGAGACUGAAAAAACAAACCAGCGACAGGCGAUCUUGUUUCACACACACACCCACCUCUGUGGGAAAGAGUCAACCAUGAGAGUUUUGUCAACAGCAAUUGUCCAUUUGGCAAAACAAAUAUCCGUCUCAAAGCCGUAUUUUACCGUUGCAGAAAACAGACGGCGUUCGCAAGAAGGCACACACACACACACACACACACACACACACACACCCCGCGGGCCAAGGAGGAGUGAGACAGCAGAUAUCAGUUUUUUUUUGUUUUUUUGUUUUUUUUUUUUCUCAAUGCUUAUAUCCUAUAACACGCCCUCCAAAAAAAUAUUAUUAUUAUUAAAACAUCUAUAUGAGGUAGGUUUUGCGCAACCUGCUCCUUGUCAGACCAAAGUAGAGAGUUUUUUCUUCAAUACUUUAACAAUAAGUUUUCUCAAUAGAUAGAAAAUGUUGACGCUGAGGAGUCAACAUCCGAUAUUAUCAUUGCUUGUAACCCGGUUUUUCACAUCUCCCCAUAAAACUAGUCUUAGCGGGGAAAAAAAGCUCAUAUUCGAAUAAGUUUAUUAAAGCACCCCCCUCUGUGGGAAAGAGUCAGCCAUGAGCCGAGUUUUGUCAACAGCAAUUGUCCAUUUGGCAAAACAAAUAUCCGUCUCAAAGUCGUAUUUUACCGUUGCAGAAAACAGACGGCGUUCGCAAGAAGGCAAUCAAAAAAAAACAAACCCCCUCUAACUACCGGUAUUGUCAAGAGAAAGAUGCGAAAAACAGAUGCUUCGCUAGACUAGGAUAAAAUGAGAGAAGAAGCGGAAGGGGAGUCGCUAUCUGUGACAGUUCUACCAAUCGCGAGGAAGAAUCCGUGAAUAUUAUGUCAGCAUUCCGUUCAAACAACGCCGCCGAUCAGAGGGCCAUCUCGCCGGAUCUGUUCAUACCUCACCCCGGUAAGUUUUUUUCUUUACGACUUUAAAUUAUAUAUCAACAGAGAUGUCAAUAAUUUGAUUACUUUCUUUUAGAUUUCUACAUCAAUGAUUUCACGCAAGUGGACUACGAAACAAUCGAUAAUGCAGUGAGUAACAGCAGAAAUCCGGCCGUUUUCCACGGCGAAUUAGAAGCCAUAUCCCCCGCAGAACCUCCGCUGCCGCCGCAUCGAAGAGAAGACGGCACUAUUUUCGUCUCCGCAUACCGGGAGAACCGCGGAGAAAAAAGUUUUAAAAUCGAAGGUAAACAAUAUGAUGCAUUAUCAGCCAUUUUGUUGAAUAACAGGAUGUGACGGAGUAAUCCGUGUGUGCUAUACCGCCCCUCCCGACCCGGAGCAGAUUUUUAAAAAGUUUUGCUUUAUUUCUCGACAGAGGUAAUCGAGAAUAUACAGACCCCGCCGCAGCGAAAAGAAGAAGAAGAAGACGACGACGUUAUUUUCGUCAACGCAUACCGGGAGAACUGCAGGAAAAUACCUUUUAAACCAAAAGGUAAACAAUAUGAUGCAAUAUCCGUCAUUUCGAUAAAUAUCAGGAUGUGGCGGAGUAAUCCGAGUGUGCUAUACCACCCCUCCCGACUUGGAGUGGUAUAAAGCGAGCUAAAAAGUUUUUUUUUUUUUUUUUUUUUUUUUUAUUAAAUCUUUCUCUUUUUGUUUUAUUUCUCGGCAGCCGAGAUUGCUGAUAUACCUAUUCAAGCCCCCUCCGCUACAGACAAUCGCGCGGAGGAGCGAGGUAAAUAAAACGUUUUUUUCAUUCUCAAAAAAUAGGAAGGAUGAGAUUGUUUUCUUAAAUCUCUUCCGUUUUAUUUUCCCCGCCAGAGACCGAUACAGAAAAUCAGACGGAAGAAAAUCAGGCUGAGGAGGAACCGUUCAGAUCGCCUCCUCUCAGGAGAGUGAGAGCUCCUCUCGGAAGACUGAGAGGUAAUUGACGGGGGGAUGAAUCGAUCCUAUUAAACUUCUCUGCUCUAUAAAAAAUGUAAGGUUUAAAAAAUACAUUCUGUCCGUCUUUUCUUACAGCUCGACGGAUGCUUCAUAAGUAGAGAAUCCUUGAAAAACUCGCUUUCAUGUACGUCGCAACAGUUCGCACAUACGCAUCGAUAUACAGACACAAGGACCUGUAAAGUAAAAGCAUGUAAAAGUCUGUGAAUUAAGAAAUAAAGAAAAUCAUGUCGGAAGAACACAGCAUUCCUGAGGCUUUGUUGGAAGCCGUGGCAGAAUU
ensembl:lncRNA